rnacentral:rRNA from 1 species
CAAUAGCGUCUAUUAAAGUUGUUGCAGUUAAAAAGCUCGUAGUUGGAUUUCUGGUAGGAGCGACCGUGCCGAACUUGAUUGUUCGAGUAUUGUGUUGUCUUCAGCCAUCCUCGUGGAGAACUUUUCUAACAUUAACUUGUUGGGAUUGGGACCCGCGUCGUUUACUGUGAAAAAAUUAGAGUGUUUAAAGCAGGCAUUAGCUUGAAUACAUUAGCAUGGAAUAAUAAGAUAGGACUUUGGUACUAUUUUGUUGGUUUGCAUACCAAAUUAAUGAUCAACAGGAACAGUUUGAGGAUAUUCGUAUGAACAUGUCAGAGGUGAAAUUCUUGGAUUUUGAUCAGACGAACUACUGCGAAAGCAUUUAUCAAGGAUGUUUUCAUUAA